rnacentral:rRNA from 1 species
UACGAAGGGGGCUAGCGUUGCUCGGAAUCACUGGGCGUAAAGGGUGCGUAGGCGGGUCUUUAAGUCAGGGGUGAAAUCCUGGAGCUCAACUCCAGAACUGUCCUUGAUACUGAAGAUCUUGAGUUCGGGAGAGGUGAGUGGAACUGCGAGUGUAGAGGUGAAAUUCGUAGAUAUUCGCAAGAACACCAGUGGCGAAGGCGGCUCACUGGCCCGAUACUGACGCUGAGGCACGAAAGCGUGGGGAGCAAACAGGG